rnacentral:lncRNA from 1 species
CUCUUUUUAACCACAAAUUACUUUCUGGGUUCCUAUGGGCCUGUUCAUGUUCAUGUUUUUCUCUUCUGACUCUCCUUUCUCCCAAAGGGGAGUGAACCUCUACUAUCCUUUCAUGCAAUGGCCUUUCUUCCUUGAUAAUUGUUUUCUUAUUUUCCUACCUCCAUUUCAGCCUAUUUUCUCUCCUCAGUAAUAGCUUUACUUGGCUUCAUGAAGGAUGGGCAGACCUCAUGUCCCUUCCCAGAACAAGGAGUCCAUAGGAAAACAAGGUGCAGUGAACCAAUGGCCUCCAGACUUAGUUACUACAGUGCUCCAAAAUCUCUUCCAAAUCAUUCUCAGAAACACAGGAGUUUGAAGUGGUUUUCUGCUUUUUUCCUCCAUACUUGGACACAAGACAAUGGUGAAAUGACCUCAGAAAGCUUUAUGGAAGGGAUUAUGAGAUGUUGUCAUAGCAAAUUACCAGCUCCUGAUCAACACUGGUGUUGGCGCCUCACAAAAGCAAGAAACUCACGAGACAGGAAAAGCCUCUCCAGCAGAAGGGAGAAAGGAGACUCCCCUGCCAGAGCACUUUCCAUAGUGCAGAGAGGAUCCCCAGAGGCUGGGCUGGCUCUGUCUGUUGUCCUCUGUGAGGGUGCCACAUGGGGACACCCCAACCUCCUCUCCAUGUGCCCAGGGUGCUGGGAUUCCCUCAUGUCCUCAGGCUGGGACCUGCAGCCUCUCUCUACAGAACUGUGUCAGAAAGCUGUGGUUUUGACAGCUGGACUGACAACUGUCCUUUGGGAAGGGACUCCAAUGAGCAUGUCAAAGUUGUCAUGCAAAGGGUGACAACUGUCAGAUAACCAUUGUCACUGAUUUCUGUAGUUAUGUUUUUUACAGUUUACAUAAUAUUUUGACUGUGAAAUAUCAUCUAAUUGCAUACUUCCUAGUGGGAAAAAUUGUUAUUUUUUCUCAUUUUUAUUCCGCGUGCUAGAAUGUUUUUCCCAUAGUCUUUUCUUACACCUCCAAGCCUUGCUGUAGUAAUUUAAUAAUUGAUUAACAAGCACUGAAAACAGUAGAACAAUUUAUUCCAACUGUGACAUCCACAUUAGGGGGCUUACUUUGGGGGCAGAUUUUGCUUUCCCAUUUAGAGUUGUAAACUCAGUUUUUCGGUUGCAAAAUAGACCUUUUAGAGCAGCCCCCAUACUGUCUAGCAAACUUCUGAAAUAAAGCUGCAAGUCUUUUAAAAAUCUGUUUUGUC